rnacentral:rRNA from 1 species
AUACGUAGGUGACAAGCGUUAUCCGGAUUUACUGGGCGUAAAGGGCGUGUAGGCGGUCUUGCAAGUCAGAAGUGAAAUUCCUGAGCUCAACUCGGGCGCUGCUUCUGAAACUGCAGGACUUGAGUGCUGGAGGGGAUAGCGGAAUUCCUAGUGGAGCGGUAAAAUGCGCAGAUAUUAGGAAGGACACCGGUGGCGAAGGCGGCUAUCUGGACAGGACCUGACGCUUAGGCGCGAAAGCGUGGGGACCAAACAGGAUUAGAUACCCGGGUAGUCCACGCCGUAAACGAUGAAUACUAGGUGUAGGGGGUAUCGACUCCCUCUGUGCCGCAGUUAACACAAUAAGUAUUCCGCCUGGGGAGUACGGCCGCAAGGUUGAAACUCAAAGGAAUUGACGGGG